CAAGGGUGACCUGCAAGGUGCAGGUCAAGCGUUUGCCAAGGUCAGCCAGCUGUACCCCAAGCACGCCAAGGUGCCGGACUCGCUGUACAAACUGGCUGACGUAGAGCGCCGCCUGGGUCAUACCGACAAGGUCAAAGGCAUUCUGCAGCAGGUGGUGGCCCAAUAUCCGGGUACCUCCGCUGCUCAGUUGGCACAGCGGGAUCUGCAACGCAUGUAAGCGUCGCAACCCGUUCAGAAGAAACCCGCGCCCUGCGCGGGUUUUUUUCGUUAGAAUCCACGCCCUUUUAUGACACACGCUUCCUGGGGUUUACGCGUUGGCGGAAUUCCUUGAAGUGCCUGACGGAGGCGGACAGCCUGUUUAGCUGUUACGCCCGUGGCGACUAUGCAAGACACAUUACGUAUCAC
rnacentral:misc_RNA from 1 species